AGAGUUUGAUCAUGGCUCAGGAUGAACGCUAGCGGCAGGCCUAACACAUGCAAGUCGAGGGGUAGAGUUCUUCGGGACUUGAGACCGGCGCACGGGUGCGUAACGCGUAUGCAAUCUACCUUAUACAGGGGAAUAGCCCAGAGAAAUUUGGAUUAAUGCCCCAUAGUGUUAUCGAAUCGCAUGGUUUGAUAACUAAAGUUCCAACGGUAUAAGAUGAGCAUGCGUCCCAUUAGUUAGUUGGUAAGGUAACGGCUUACCAAGACAAUGAUGGGUAGGGGUCCUGAGAGGGAGAUCCCCCACACUGGUACUGAGACACGGACCAGACUCCUACGGGAGGCAGCAGUGAGGAAUAUUGGUCAAUGGGCGCAAGCCUGAACCAGCCAUGCCGCGUGCAGGAAGACGGUCCUAUGGAUUGUAAACUGCUUUUAUACAGGAAGAAACCCUCCCACGUGUGGGAGCUUGACGGUACUGUAGGAAUAAGGAUCGGCUAACUCCGUGCCAGCAGCCGCGGUAAUACGGAGGAUCCAAGCGUUAUCCGGAAUCAUUGGGUUUAAAGGGUCCGUAGGCGGCCUUAUAAGUCAGUGGUGAAAUCUCCUAGCUCAACUAGGAAACUGCCAUUGAUACUGUAAGGCUUGAAUUUUUGUGAAGUAACUAGAAUAUGUAGUGUAGCGGUGAAAUGCUUAGAUAUUACAUGGAAUACCAAUUGCGAAGGCAGGUUACUAACAAACGAUUGACGCUGAUGGACGAAAGCGUGGGGAGCGAACAGGAUUAGAUACCCUGGUAGUCCACGCCGUAAACGAUGGAUACUAGCUGUUCGGAGCAAUCUGAGUGGCUAAGCGAAAGUGAUAA
rnacentral:rRNA from 1 species